rnacentral:rRNA from 1 species
GUUGGGUAGGGGAGCGUUCUGUAAGCCUGUGAAGGUGUGUCGUGAGGCAUGCUGGAGGUAUCAGAAGUGCGAAUGCUGACAUAAGUAACGAUAAAGCGGGUGAAAAGCCCGCUCGCCGGAAGACCAAGGGUUCCUGUCCAACGUUAAUCGGGGCAGGGUGAGUCGACCCCUAAGGCGAGGCCGAAAGGCGUAGUCGAUGGGAAACGGGUUAAUAUUCCCGUACUUGGUGUUACUGCGAAGGGGGGACGGAGAAGGCUAUGUUGGCCGGGCGACGGUUGUCCCGGUUUAAGCGUGUAGGUGUGUGUUCCAGGUAAAUCCGGUUCACUUUAACACUGAGGCGUGACGACGAGGCACUACGGUGCUGAAGCAACAAAUGCCCUGCUUCCAGGAAAAGCCUCUAAGCAUCAGGUAACAUCAAAUCGUACCCCAAACCGACACAGGUGGUCAGGUAGAGAAUACCAAGGCGCUUGAGAGAACUCGGGUGAAGGAACUAGGCAAAAUGGUGCCGUAACUUCGGGAGAAGGCACGCUGACACGUAGGUGAAGUGAUUUACUCAUGGAGCUGAAGUCAGUCGAAGAUACCAGCUGGCUGCAACUGUUUAUUAAAAACACAGCACUGUGCAAACACGAAAGUGGACGUAUACGGUGUGACGCCUGCCCGGUGCCGGAAGGUUAAUUGAUGGGGUCAGCGCAAGCGAAGCUCCUGAUCGAAGCCCCGGUAAACGGCGGCCGUAACUAUAACGGUCCUAAGGUAGCGAAAUUCCUUGUCGGGUAAGUUCCGACCUGCACGAAUGGCGUAAUGAUGGCCAGGCUGUCUCCACCCGAGACUCAGUGAAAUUGAACUCGCUGUGAAGAUGCAGUGUACCCGCGGCAAGACGGAAAGACCCCGUGAACCUUUACUAUAGCUUGACACUGAACAUUGAGCCUUGAUGUGUAGGA